rnacentral:rRNA from 1 species
UACGAAGGGGGCUAGCGUUGCUCGGAAUGACUGGGCGUAAAGAGCUCGUAGGCGGUGUGUCGCGUCGGCCGUGAAAACCUGCAGCUUAACUGUGGGCUUGCGGUCGAUACGGGCAUCACUGGAGUUCGGCAGGGGAGACUGGAAUUCCUGGUGUAGCGGUGAAAUGCGCAGAUAUCAGGAGGAACACCGGUGGCGAAGGCGGGUCUCUGGGCCGAUACUGACGCUGAGGAGCGAAAGCGUGGGGAGCGAACAGG